CACGGCGUCAACAGCCGACCAGCACUGUGAGCUGUUGGUUAGAGCAGGGUUUCCCCAAAGUCGGUCCUGGAGCUCCCCUCCCCUGUGUGCACGUUUGUUUUUUUUUGCCCAAGCACUGCAAAGCGGAUUCAAACAAUCAAAGAUUGAUGCGUUGGUAAGUUGAAUCAGCUGUGUAGUGCUAGGGAAAAACACCAAACAUUCACCUGGGGGCCCAGGACCGACUAUGGGAAACCUUGGGCUAGAGUGCACAUGCCAAGGCCAGAGUUGGCAUAUUUGCUAUUGAAUUAAUGCAAUAGUUUUAGUGGAAAAAACUAUCGGUAGAGUUGAAAAUGCGAUGGAAACAUAUUCAACUAUAAGCUUUUUUUUUAGCUCACUGAUUUUGAUCCGCAAAAAGUACAUUUGGUUGAAACCCCACUGGUGCGGAAAAGACGCGUAUUUACUUUUUGCUUAUUCUGGCAGUAUUCACUAAAAUCUGCCGCCAAUUGGACGGAAACCUAGCUGGUCGACCUGUAUGCGAUUGAAUGAAACCACUCGAAUGCAUAUUUGCUUGCCUUAAAUUGUCCUUCAAAGAUUCCGUAGGUGAUCCUUAUAAAUAGACACCACCCCGUUUUUCGUUCUCUUUUUCUCACUCAGAAGUCUGAGCAUGUCUCCAAGAUGAAGAGUACAAUGAGGAACAUUAGAUGCCACCAUGACCUAUUGGUGUCACUGUCCAAGCAGAUGGCACAUGAACGUAGCACGAAGGCCUGCCUUUUCUCCCUGAAAUAAUAUAGUGAUAAAGGAUGGUCUGGUGGCGCAGCAGUGCUGACUUACUGGUUAGUGGGUCAUGACGUGGCGCCACAAGCAAUGGAUGUGAAGCGAGCCAAUGCGAAAUUGGUAUACCGCUGGUUGGUGUCCUAGCGGCUGUGACCUAGAAGUAGCAGAAUGAUUGUCGCCUUUCCUCCCUGAAAGAAUGCUGUGCAGUGUGCACAUGACAACGAUAAAGGAUGGUCUGGAGGUGCAGCAGUGCUGACCUACUAGUUAUAGUGGGUCUGACGUGAAGCCACAAGCCAUGCUGCCAAUGAGAAAUUGGUAUAUUGGUGUCCUAGCAGAUGUAACCUGGAAGUAGCAGAAUGAUUGCCGCCUUUCCUCCCUGACAGAAUGCUGUGCACAGAACGGGUCUGGCAGUGUGGGGUUGACAUGGAGCCACAGGUCAUUAUGGGGCAGGUGCUGAAGAACGACUGAAGAUUGUGGCCUGUUUCAGUUGAAGAUGAAAGGUGGCAGUAAUGGGUUGUGCCUUAGAAGAAAGCAGAUUGUUCAGUUGCCGGUCCUAGACUAGGGUGCCAUCUGAUUGUGUAUGCAGCUGCCACUAUUAUAGCCAUUAGAUGCCGUUAAUCACAGCGAGCUCAAGUUUGAAUCUGGUUAUCACACAAACCCUUCACUUGGUGUGAGAUUUUUUUUAAUUAGUAUUUGUUGGGCCAGUGUACUUGCCCUGUUUUGAUUUGAAUAAAUGUAUUGCUUUCAAAAUAAUUCUAAUAAACUCAAGCUGACCUCA